GGUGGUGUAGUGCAGUGCUAGAGUGCUUGCCUAGCAUGUAUGAGGCCUGGGUUCAAACCCUAGUACCGCUA
rnacentral:tRNA from 1 species